CCCUUAGGAGGGGGACAACAGUUGGAAACGACUGGCUAAUACCCCAUAUGCCGUUUAAGUAAAAUUAAAUUGGUGAAAAGAGUAAUCUGCCUGAAGAAGAGCUCGCGUCUGAUUAGCUAGUUGGUGGGGUAAAGGCCUACCAAGGCGACGAUCAGUAGUUGGUCUGAGAGGAUGAUCAGCCACACUGGGACUGAGAUACGGCCCAGACUCCUACGGGAGGCAGCAGUGGGGAAUUUUCCGCAAUGGGCGAAAGCCUGACGGAGCAAUACCGCGUGAGGGAAGAAGGCCUGUGGGUUGUAAACCUCUUUUCUUAGGGAAGAAUAAAUGACGGUACCUAAGGAAUAAGCAUCGGCUAACUCCGUGCCAGCAGCCGCGGUAAUACGGAGGAUGCAAGCGUUAUCCGGAAUCAUUGGGCGUAAAGAGUUCGUAGGUGGCUAAGCAAGUCUGUUGUUAAAGGCUGGGGCUUAACCCCAAAAAGGCAAUGGAAACUGUUUGGCUCGAGUACGGUAGGGGCAGAGGGAAUUCCUGGUGUAGCGGUGAAAUGCGUAGAUAUCAGGAAGAACACCGAUGGCGAAAGCACUCUGCUGGGCCGUAACUGACACUGAGGAACGAAAGCUAGGGUAGCAAAUGGGAUUAGAUA
rnacentral:rRNA from 1 species